GAUGAACGCUGGCGGCGUGCCUAGUACAUGCAAGUCGAACGCUUCACUUCGGUGAAGAGUGGCGAACGGGUGAGUAAUACAUAAGUAACCUGGCAUCUACAGGGGGAUAACUGAUGGAAACGUCAGCUAAGACCGCAUAGGUGUAGAGAUCGCAUGAACUCUAUAUGAAAAGUGCUACGGGACUGGUAGAUGAUGGACUUAUGGCGCAUUAGCUUGUUGGUAGGGUAACGGCCUACCAAGGCGACGAUGCGUAGCCGACCUGAGAGGGUGACCGGCCACACUGGGACUGAGACACGGCCCAGACUCCUACGGGAGGCAGCAGUAGGGAAUUUUCGGCAAUGGGGGAAACCCUGACCGAGCAACGCCGCGUGAAGGAAGAAGUAAUUCGUUAUGUAAACUUCUGUCAUAGAGGAAGAACGGUGGAUAUAGGGAAUGAUAUCCAAGUGACGGUACUCUAUAAGAAAGCCACGGCUAACUACGUG
rnacentral:rRNA from 1 species